GUGCUGUGAGGAGCUGACCCUGAGAACUCACUAAGAAGAUAAUUUGUGUGUCUGUCAUCCUAUGGGUACAGGCAGUGCAUGCCCCAGAGAAGCUGAAGUUGCAUUAAAGGAGUCCCUGGUGUCCUGGCACGGCUGUUGGGGAUCUCUGUGAAGUUUGAAUGUGUUUCCACUUUUACUUCUGCAAAUGCUGCAGAUUUCAGGCUCAGGUGUGAAGUAUCAGAGGAGCUGAAUUCCUGAUUCAGGAUGGUUUCAUACCUGCUGAGUGGAGGUGUCCUGAAAAUUGCUGAUAAAGGAUAAUAGCCUGCAUAAGGAAAUCAAAUUGCCUAACAAGUAGCUCUUCUGUGGAAUAAACUAAUUACCAUUGUAAUUGAUUGCUUCAAUUGCCUGAGACAGUUUAGGUGCACUCAGGUCCACGUGGUGUGCAGGGCUUGGCACAGGUGUGGGAUCAGCAUUCUCACCAUGGUGAGCUGGAUUCCAUUUCCUGGACACUGGAUUUCCAUUGGGUUCUGUGCAGACACUGCCCUGAGGGCUCCGUUUCACAGGGAUGCUCUUCUGAAACACUUGUCAUGAUGCAAAAGCCACUGGUUAUUGAUAUCACUGUGCCAUCACUGAAUGGGGAGCAUGGCAGAAUCUUUCUUCCCAAGGAACAUUGGCAACUUGAUUAUUGUGAACCAGGAAUGACAUAACAGCCAGAUAUGGCAAAACAGCUGCAGUUCUGCUUUCUGGAGGAAUGUUUCAAAAAGGACAUUGGAGGCAACAUGGAUAGUGACAAAGAAUCCCUUAGAACAACUGCUAAAGACUGAAUUUAAGGAAGACCAAGAAAUUAUGUUAAUAAACCACUGAGGAGCAUCCCAGUAUCAGAAACCCUACAGAGAAAUGUUGUUUCCCCUCUAACACACUGGGAUGUGAUACUGUAUGACACAAAAAGUAGCCUCUAAGGAAUACUGCAUUCUAAAUAUAUUCUUGACACCAAUGCACAACUACUUCAAUCUGUAAAUUUAGUUUUGGGUUGUUUCUUUUUUUUUUCUGUGCUAGAGGACAUGAUUGUGCUUGAAUGGGAAUUGAA